rnacentral:rRNA from 1 species
CCUACGGGAGGCAGCAGUGGGGAAUAUUGGACAAUGGACGAGAGUCUGAACCAGCCAAGUAGCGUGAAGGAUGACUGCCCUAUGGGUUGUAAACUUCUUUUAUAUGGGAAUAAAAUGUUCCACGUGUGGGAUUUUGUAUGUACCAUAUGAAUAAGGAUCGGCUAACUCCGUGCCAGCAGCCGCGGUAAUACGGAGGAUCCGAGCGUUAUCCGGAUUUAUUGGGUUUAAAGGGAGCGUAGGUGGAUUGUUAAGUCAGUUGUGAAAGUUUGCGGCUCAACCGUAAAAUUGCAGUUGAAACUGGCAGUCUUGAGUACAGUAGAGGUGGGCGGAAUGCGUGGUGUAGCGGUGAAAUGCUUAGAUAUCACGAAGAACUCCGAUUGCGAAGGCAGUUCACUGGACUGCAACUGACACUGAGGCUCGAAAGUGUGGGUAUCAAACAGGAUUAGAUACCCUUGUAGUC